GAGUGCCAAGAAUUCCCCGACUUGGUUCCAGAGUUGUCGGUUUCAAACUUCGAGACCGUGCACUCUGAAAUGGAUUUGCAACCAUCAACGCCCCAAGAUCAAGCCUCCCUGGGAGCACAGCAGCCAUCUGCAACAGCCACAUCUACACAAGGAACACCUAGAGUUAGGGCCAGGAUCCGGAAGGUGUUGACUCCUCGUUCUUUGAAGAGGCUGCAGCGCUACCGUGAUGAGAAUAACCGCCUUCAAGUUGUUGCAAGACUAAAGAAGCCCACAAGACCAAUUGCAUCCCGUGCACAGCUUCUGUGUGAAGCAAGAAGGUACCUCAACAGAGAUUUUUUGGAUAUCUUGAGAGUGCAAAUGCAUUUACAGCCACUGAGAAAACAUGGUAGACGGUGGCCCGUGGAAUUCCGACAGUUUGCCCUCAA